GUAUAAUAUUUAGAUGAUGAUAAACAGAAUGAACAUUACACUUAUGAUGUUCAGAUAAUAAAAAUUUGUUAAUCGUAAAUAGAGGGACAAGUCUCAUAAAAACACAAGCUUGGGAUGAUGUGUGCUUAAUUUAGGGGGUUAAGUUUGAUUGGUUAUUUCCGAUUCGUUAUUGGGGUAACCACCAGAAAACACACCCCCCUUGGUGUCCAUAAACUCGCCCACCCAAGGAAGUAUUUUUGUGGCAAGUGGUCAUUUACCACAUUAGUGAAAAUGUAUUGAGCUCUUGUAUGACGUGUGGGUUCAAACUCUGUAGAUAAUUAAUCUAACAUUUAAUCUAAUAAAAUUUAUAGUUUGACAAAAUAUAUAUAUAUAUAUAUAUAUUGUGACACACCCCGUCCCGAAGGAGGGCAUGCUGGCCGUCACGUGAGAGUGACGUAACCAUUUGCACAGUACGGAAGCUUUAAUUAUACAAUUUAUAAGUUGAUACACCCGAAGGUGAGUCCUAAUUUUGUCCAAUCUGUCAGAACCCCGCUGUAUUCCUCGUAGUCACCACACCUUUGUGAUUCCUGAACCUGGAGGGGCGCAAAACCAAAAUUGAGUGGGUCAGUAAAACAAUUCUUUUCCAAAUCCAAACAUUUCUCAAAACGUUGUAACCCCUCUCCGUAAAACCUGUAUACUUUCCCAGAAAUGUAAAAUAUAAAUAUACAUAUAUAUUCUCAAUACUUCAUUUCACUUUUUCAACAUUUUUCAUAUCAGUUAUGCCAUGCCACAUCAUCUCAACAUUUCUCAUAUUAAUUAUGCCAUGCCACAUCAUCUCAACAUUAAUAAGGUAUGAAUGCAUCAACAUAAUCAUAUCAGGUGCAAGAAAGUAAUCAACCGUAGGCCCUCUAAUAGCCCUGUACGGUUGAACCUAGAGCUCAAAAUCUAUCAUUAUCACUCUACCGGAGUCACCUCUGUGACCCGUCCGGCCUUCUGCACGCAAGUUACGCUCUAGUGCUUCUCAUAAAUCAUCUGUGCACAUUAUCUAAGGUCACCCACCAGUCGGAAUCUCACUAACACUCUCGCGACUGGUCUGUCGUACCCACUCCGCGUGGACUGUACGACUAGCAUCUACUUGGAUCCAAGGCGAGCGUGCGAUGCGGUGAAUACUAUAAGCACUAAACCAUGGUGCAGGAUUUGAGCUCAAUAUAUAUCAUCAUCAUCAUAACAGUAAUUAAAUACUCACCUGUGCGUCCACCGCACCAUUUCAUACAUAUGCAUCAUAAAUCAAUUCUUACUUGUGCGUCCACCGCACCAAUUCAUGCAUAUACCGCACCAAUUCAUACAUAUGCAUCAUAAAUCAAUUCUUACUGUGCAUCCACCGCACCAAUUCAUACAUAUGCAUCAUAUAUUAAUUCAUGCAUGGCAUUUCAACUCACAUUUCUAUAUACUUUUCAUAUCAAUUCUAUGCAUGGUAUUUCACUUCCCGUUUUUCCACAUAACUCAUAUGCAUUUCAUUUUAAACAUAUUUUCAUUUCAAUUCAAUUUCUGGGAAACGUCAAGUAUAUAUAUAUAUAUAUACGGAAAACAAAACUGCCCACUCACCUGGAGUUCGCCCUACAACUCCCUAGCACAAUACGCCAAGGCGUCAUGACGAUCGGCGCCUAAAACAAUAAUCAAUUCCAACCUCAGAAUUCAUAUCGAUAAAAUAUAUAACUUAUAUAAAAUACGUCACUACGUAAAUUGAUCCGGAAGAUCCACCCCUCAGAUUUUAAAUCCAUAACUUCCAGAGGUCCACAUUAUACCUCUAGGACAACAUCCUAAAAUUUCAUUACCAUCCAACGGUCGGAUCUCCGUCAAUUUCCAAAAACUAAGUGACGGUUAACAUUUAUAUUAUGGACUUACAAUUCCAAUUCCGGAAGAUCCGCAAAUCGGAUUCCCAAUCUGUAAGUUCCAAUAAUCCUCAAAUAUUACGUAUUGCAACGUAUCAAAGUUUGGUGACGAUCCAACGGUCGGAUCGUCAAUUCACAUUUUCACCUAAAUGUGAAAAUUAUAAAACGUUAUUUGAACACCUAACCAACAAUCCUCAAUAACUUUCUCAUACGGUGUUCAAUUUAGGUAUAUGAAUAUACCACAGUGAUCUACUCGACGUCACGGACGUCGACAUAUUUUUAAAAUAAUUUUAUUUUUAUUUUUUAUUUUUACUGUAGCACCUUCUUCUUCCUUGGGUCGCCGGACUGGUUUUCCGGCGGCCGUUUUCCGGGCAGUUUUUCAAAUUGCCAUAACUUUGUCAUUUCUCAACGAAAUCAAGUGAUUCAAAAACGAAAGUUGUAGCCCUUGAAGAGACAAAGAGAAUGGUGCCUUGCACAACACCUAGUUCGCCGUAUUUUGGCCGGAAAAUGCCUCGAAAGCCUCGGAGGUCGCCGGAAACUGGGUAUUUUUCAAAUGAGUAUAACUUCUUCAAUACUCAACGAAAUUGAGUGAAACAAAAAGGAAAGUUGUAGUACUUGACGAGACGAAGAGAUAGAUACCUACCUCGACUCCUAACUCGCCAGGGAUUCGCCGGAAAAUUCCUCGAAAGCUCCGGCCAAACUUUGAACUUGUCAAUCUCCGUGUUCUUACGUCCAAAAACUUCCAACGAAGCACUCCGAGCUUCCUUGGGACCUCACUAAGCCCGCUGUGAUCUUGUUUUAGCCUAAAACGUAGUCAUUUAGAAGAUCAUGAACAGUACCAUUUCACGGGAACUUUGAAACUAGGGUUUUUCGAAGCAAAACUUACCUGAAAUUGAUGUCUACGUGAUCGUGGAAGUUCCAGGAGUCCAAAUGUGGUCUUAUCUUGGACGUUUGUUUAUGUUUUAGGUGGUUUUGGGUGAGGUUGAGCGUCGGAGAGGAAGAGAGAGAACUGAGAGUGAGAGAGAGUCGUGAGGGAAGAGAGAUAGAGAGACAAGGUACGGGAAUUGGGGAAGGUUUUGAGGGAUGUGGGGAUCCCACGUGUCCAACUCAAUCCAAAUUGUUAAAUUUUCGCCCCUUAGUCCCGUUUAAGGGCAUUUUCAUCUUUUCAUGUCCUCGGAAUUAAAAUUCCGGGACGGGCUGUGACAAUCUUCCCUCCUUAUAGAAGUUCGUCCCCGAAAUUCCAGCAACCAACUAAAUCAACCAUACUCCAACAAUAGCUUCGGGUAAAUCUUUCUCAUCCGAUUCUCUUUCUCCCACAUACUUUUCGACUGAAUGAUUUCCUUCACAAAGCUUUUACUACUUACUCUGUCUUAAUUCUCAGGACCUUCUUUUUCCAAUCCAAAGUCGUCCUUGGUUCCUUAUCAAGUCGAAUCCAAUUUAAUUCUCAAUAGUUGCACCAUAAUUCCAUGAGACGACUCUGUCACUUAGUGACAACGCAUCGAACACAAAAUACAUUAAGUACCGUUGCCCUGUCUGGGAAAAAGUUAUUACUCAGCACUGGAGUAAUUGUACUAACUUGGUACAUUGAUCAACUAUCACUUCAAAUUCGAUCAUAACCAUCCUAUGUACAAGGAAACUUGUACACAUAAUCCAAAGUAAUAUCUUUCCAUUUCCACUGCGAAACAGAAAAUAGUUAUCUCAAUCCAAAGGUUUAUCUCUUUCUGCCUCAAUCUGCUGACCAAAUAAAACUGUCGAAUGGUAUGAUAAAUCUUAUUACUUUUGGAAUAUUGCAGAAGUUGAACAGUGAACUUCGUCCAAUAUUUGCUUGCUUCAAAUCCUCAGCAUUAGGCACAUACUUUUUGUUUUCUUGUAUCCACAUACCAUUUGAUUCACGAAUCAUGUACUCAUUCUUAACUUUACUUUAGUUGGUUUCCAAUCCACAAGAAGAUAACCAUGGCAAGCGUACCAGAUAUUAAUUCUUACUGCAGUCUUCUUAUCAAGUGCUUCAGUUACAACAAUUCACGAUCGCCCUGAUCGUACAAUCAUAAUCACUAAGUAAUUCAAUCCACCCUUGUUGCCUCAUAUCAAAAUCCUUCCAAGUAAUGGAUAUUGAAGACUUUUUGGAUUCGUAAAAAAAAAAUCUUGCAUUCUUAUCAACAUAUAAUGUCUCCAUAACUUCACAGCAAGGAUGAUAAUCGUGACUUCCAAAUCACCAGUAGGGUAAUUCAUCUCAUGAGGUUCCAUUUGUCGUGAAACAUAUACAAUCACCCUAACAUUUGCAUCAACAUGCCUCCAAUACCAUUCAAGAAACAUCACUAAAAAUUUAUGAUUACCACUAUUCUCUGGGAUUACUAAAAUACGUGCAUGAGUGAGGAAAUACUUUAGUUGUUGAAUCCUUUGCUCACAAUUUCCUUCCCACUCAUACAUGACCUCUUUUCUCAACAGUCUCGUCAAUGACAAAGCAAUGACUAAAAAUUCUUUCACAACCAUCCAAAAUAGCCUGGUAAGCUAAGAAAUUCCAAAUCUCAAUUACGACUCGUGGUUGUUCCAAAUUCUCAAUUUCUGCUAUCUUUUAAGGAUUCACUUGAAUACCUUAAGAAUAUAUAACAAAUCUUAGAAUGCCACCUGAUUCAUCUAACUUUAGCAUUUGCUACACUUAGCAUACAAUCGACAUUCUUCCAAUCUUUAUUCCACCGACUUAAUACGUUUACAUGCUCUGCUCUGGCUCAGAAUAUGCCAGAAUAUCUUCAAUGAAAAUGAUAUCUAUUUAUCAAGGCAUUAUUGGAAUACUUCAUCCAAUAACUCAUAAAACAGCAUGAGUAUCCAUAUAGCCUCACCAUAGUUCAUAAAACAAUCUUAAGAACAACGUCGCUCAUAAUCUUUAAUUGGUAAUAACCAUACCUCAAUUCAAUCUUUGAAUCUUCGCAAUUACUUCUGAGCUGGUUAAAUAAACAUCAGUACAUCACCAUGGAUAACGGUUCUCAAUCGUUACCCGACUCCAUUGUCUAUAAUCAAUGAACAGUCUCAAGAUCCAUUUUCUUCCUCACCAACAAACUGGGGCUCCUCAAAAGUGUUGUACUAGGUUGAAUGAAACUUUUAUCAACCAAUUCUUUCAACUGAAUUUCCAAUUCCCUUAACUCAUCUUGAACUAAUCUCCAAUAUAAAUUUAUACCUGGCAACAAAUCAAUAAUGAACCUCAUAUCUCUGCCUGAAGGCAAUCCAGGUAUACUUUCAAGGAAGACAUCAAGAAAAGUCUAACUCUUUCGACAUUAUUCACACUACUCCAAACAACAUCAUUUAGCACCACAUGAGCUAAGUAUUUUUGACAGCCUUUCGAAAACAAUCUCUUUGCUCUCACAGCAUACAUAACAGCCUGACUCAAUCCAUUUUGCAUACUUACAAAAGUAAUCUCUGUUCAUCCAGAUCGAUGGAAAGUACUGGUUUCCCAUAACAUUUCGUCUUGUCACAAUUAUAACCAACCAAUCUAAUGGAACAGAAUUAACUGAUACAAUAUAUAUUUUAUUAUUAUUAAGCAUUCCAAAUAAGUACAUUACUAACAUAAAAUAAUCUACCGGGUUGCUUGCUUAACGAAUCCACGAAUGAGUUAUUAAUAUUACGGUCUGCAGCCCGCAAUACUGAUAAAUCAUCGUUGUCUCGAUAAGUAGGCAACCACUCUCAAAGAUAUAACAUUACUAUUUUGUCACUCAAUGCAAAAUACAUACACUCAUCUCAACUACAUUUAUUUACUACUCUCAAGGUAAUAACAUACAUAAUAAGAAAUAUAUCAGCCGAAGUCAACUAGAAUGACCAAUACGGCUGAUUCAACUCUUAUCUCAAUAAUACGUCGGCCGGAUCCACUCCGCGUGGUCGGGUACGGCCGAGCCUAUAACUCACUAAUUUCUCAUGUGUCAAUCGAAUCCACUUCUCAUGGUCUGUACAGCUGAACAUAUAACUCAUUAAAUCUCUCUGUACUCACGGUCAAUCCGACCAAACUACUAAGUCCAUAACUCUGCUGAAUCGACACUAUGAUAUCAUGGAAAAUUAUUGAGUACAACUGAUUCUAGGGACGAUUCACAAUUCUGUGUCCCCUCUGUUCACAUAAACACAUUCAUUAAUUUCACAUUUCCCAAAGUGUUAAUUUUGUACCUGCUGCACAAGGUACAUUUCCUUUACUCGAGACACCUUGUCUCAAAUAUCUGGGAUUACCAGUAUAUCCAUCACUUUUUACUCUGACCAGCGACAUUAAAACCUCAGCUGGAAGAAUUAACUCUAGCUUCACUUCUUUCGAAGCUCUGAAUCUUUCUAUAUCCUUGAUAUGACGAAUCAUUAACUUUAUCGUCAACUUCCUUGAUUCACAUUUGCAAACUCUUGCUUACUACCAUCGAUAAAUGCCGGAGGGAUAAACUUUUCCUUAAAAAAUUUUAAAUCGGCUGAUUCCUCUGGUGACAACAAUUAACAUUCCUGUUUCCACCAGGAUACAAUUUCAUACCCAAAACCAGGUAGUCGUCUCGACCCACCUGUCAGAAGGAAAUUUCCUUUAACUUGCAUAUUCCGAAACAUCUUUUCCAAUUGGUUAAUCCGUCACUUCGUUCCCUCAGGUUGAUCAUUCCAUAAGGUGAUUCAAAUUCAACUCAUAACCCGUCUUAAAAUGUCCCUUUAGACAAUAGACUGAAUCACCAUAGUAAUAGUUUCCCCCAAAACCGCUAAAUUAGGGAGACUAAGUUCCUCUAACUACGUGGUUUGCUACGAGGCGGUGUAGUUCUGACAGAAUUCACUAGAACUUCUCAAAAUGUCCAAGAUUGCAACCAUGCUCUGAUACCAACUGACACACCCCGUCCCGAAGGAGGGCAUGCUGGCCGUCACGUGAGAGUGAUGUAACCAUUUGCACAGUACGGAAGCUUUAAUUAUACAAUUUAAAGUUGAUACACCCGAAGGUGAGUCCUAAUUUUGUCCAAUCUGUCAGAACCCCGCUGUAUUCCUCGUAGUCACCACACCUUUGUGAUUCCUGAACCUGGAGGGGCGCAAAACCAAAAUUGAGUGGGUCAGUAAAACAAUUCUUUUCCAAAUCCAAACAUUUCUCAAAACGUUGUAACCCCUCUCCGUAAAACCUGUAUACUUUCCCAGAAAUGUAAAAUAUAUAAAUAUACAUAUAUAUUCUCAAUACUUCAUUUCACUUUUUCAACAUUUUUCAUAUCAGUUAUGCCAUGCCACAUCAUCUCAACAUUUCUCAUAUUAAUUAUGCCAUGCCACAUCAUCUCAACAUUAAUAAGGUAUGAAUGCAUCAACAUAAUCAUAUCAGGUGCAAGAAAGUAAUCAACCGUAGGCCCUCUAAUAGCCCUGUACGGUUGAACCUAGAGCUCAAAAUCUAUCAUUAUCACUCUAUCGGAGUCACCUCUGUGACCCGUCCGGCCUUCUGCACGCAAGUUACGCUCUAGUGCUUCUCAUAAAUCAUCUGUGCACAUAAUCUAAGGUCACCCACCAGUCGGAAUCUCACUAACACUCUCGCGACUGGUCUGUCGUACCCACUCCGCGUGGACUGUACGACUAGCAUCUACUUGGAUCCAAGGCGAGCGUGCGAUGCGGUGAAUACUAUAAGCACUAAACCAUGGUGCAGGAUUUGAGCUCAAUAUAUAUCAUCAUCAUCAUAACAGUAAUUAAAUACUCACCUGUGCGUCCACCGCACCAUUUCAUACAUAUGCAUCAUAAAUCAAUUCUUACUUGUGCGUCCACCGCACCAAUUCAUGCAUAUACCGCACCAAUUCAUACAUAUGCAUCAUAAAUCAAUUCUUACUUGUGCGUCCACCGCACCAAUUCAUACAUAUGCAUCAUAUAUUAAUUCAUGCAUGGCAUUUCAACUCACAUUUCUAUAUACUUUUCAUAUCAAUUCUAUGCAUGGUAUUUCACUUCCCGUUUUUCCACAUAACUCAUAUGCAUUUCAUUUUAAACAUAUUUUCAUUUCAAUUCAAUUUCUGGGAAACGUCAAGUAUAUAUAUAUAUAUACGGAAAACAAAACUGCCCACUCACCUGGAGUUCGCCCUACAACUCCCUAGCACAAUACGCCAAGGCGUCAUGACGAUCGGCGCCUAAAACAAUAAUCAAUUCCAACCUCAGAAUUCAUAUCGAUAAAAUAUAUAACUUAUAUAAAAUACGUCACUACGUAAAUUGAUCCGGAAGAUCCACCCCUCAGAUUUUAAAUCCAUAACUUCCAGAGGUCCACAUUAUACCUCUAGGACAACAUCCUAAAAUUUCAUUACCAUCCAACGGUCGGAUCUCCGUCAAUUUCCAAAACUAAGUGACGGUUAACAUUUUAUAUUAUGGACUUACAAUUCCAAUUCCGGAAGAUCCGCAAAUCGGAUUCCCAAUCUGUAAGUUCCAAUAAUCCUCAAAUAUUACGUAUUGCAACGUAUCAAAGUUUGGUGACGAUCCAACGGUCGGAUCGUCAAUUCACAUUUUCACCUAAAUGUGAAAAUUAUAAAACGUUAUUUGAACACCUAACCAACAAUCCUCAAUAACUUUCUCAUACGGUGUUCAAUUUAGGUAUAUGAAUAUACCACAGUGAUCUACUCGACGUCACGGACGUCGACAUAUUUUUAAAAUAAUUUUAUUUUUAUUUUUUUAUUUUUACUGUAGCACCUUCUUCUUCCUUGGGUCGCCGGACUGGUUUUUCCGGCGGCCGUUUUCCGGGCAGUUUUUCAAAUUGCCAUAACUUUGUCAUUUCUCAACGAAAUCAAGUGAUUCAAAAACGAAAGUUGUAGCCCUUGAAGAGACAAAGAGAAUGGUACCUUGCACAACACCUAGUUCGCCGUAUUUUGGCCGGAAAAUGCCUCGAAAGCCUCGGAGGUCGCCGGAAACUGGGUAUUUUUCAAAUGAGUAUAACUUCUUCAAUACUCAACGAAAUUGAGUGAAACAAAAAGGAAAGUUGUAGUACUUGACGAGACGAAGAGAUAGAUACCUACCUCGACUCCUAACUCGCCGGGGAUUCGCCGGAAAAUUCCUCGAAAGCUCCGGCCAAACUUUGAACUUGUCAAUCUCCGUGUUCUUACGUCCAAAAACUUCCAACGAAGCACUCCGAGCUUCCUUGGGACCUCACUAAGCCCGCUGUGAUCUUGUUUUAGCCUAAAACGUAGUCAUUUAGAAGAUCAUGAACAGUACCAUUUCACGGGAACUUUGAAACUAGGGUUUUUCGAAGCAAAACUUACCUGAAAUUGAUGUCUACGUGAUCGUGGAAGUUCCAGGAGUCCAAAUGUGGUCUUAUCUUGGACGUUUGUUUAUGUUUUAGGUGGUUUUGGGUGAGGUUGAGCGUCGGAGAGGAAGAGAGAGAACUGAGAGUGAGAGAGAGUCGUGAGGGAAGAGAGAUAGAGAGACAAGGUACGGGAAUUGGGGAAGGUUUUGAGGGAUGUGGGGAUCCCACGUGUCCAACUCAAUCCAAAUUGUUAAAUUUUCGCCCCUUAGUCCCGUUUAAGGGCAUUUUCAUCUUUUCAUGUCCUCGGAAUUAAAAUUCCGGGACGGGCUGUGACAUAUUGGACCUGCGGCUGCGUAUCGGAUAUUCCUGUUUUGACUCUUGAGUUACUUUAUUGGGCCGAGAGGGCAUUAAUAAGGCCCAAGCCAGUUCUCAGAC
rnacentral:lncRNA from 1 species